GAGUUCUUUCUGCAGCAUUUUCCGAAAACUGCUUUUGCUGAUCUUGUUCCGAACCAGACUGUGCUUGGAUACGUAUUUGUAGAAGUUGGCCACCAGGACUUGGAUUGCCUGCUCCAGCUCUGUGUAACAUUCCUCGGCCAUCUCACCUGCUCAGGGCUCUUAAGGAAAGCAGCGGGCAUUAAGGAAAGGAAUUCUGCCCCAGCCCUCCCCCUGGGAGACGGAAGAGCCCAAACUCCGAGUGGAAUAACUUUCCCAACCUGCACACACCUUCCAGGAUUAAUAGAGACCCUCUCUUCCCCUCGUCCUAUCCAGAGUGGAACAAUCUCCCCCAAACUCUACACACACACAUACCCCGGGAGCCACUGGGGCAAAGUGCCCAAGAGUUGUGGCCACAGCUGCAGCCACCAGCAGCUGGAUCUCUAAGGCCUUUCCAGCCAGACAGGCCCCACACCCCAUUGUACCCCAUGGCCCAGGCUCACGGAAGGGGUGCCCCCCCGCCGCAUACCUGAGCAGCAAUCCCCGACAAGUGGUUUUCCGAUCUCUUCGAGAAGACCUCCAGCAACGAGAGCCUUCCUAUCCUUCGGAAACCCCCUCCAAGCCUGCCCAGGCUCCCGACUCCCCGCCCAGGCCCUAGUUCUGGGAAUCCUCCUGUUACUCGAAACGGAGCCAAGCUCUUUCUUUCUCCAGACCCAAUCCCUCGGCUCCUGGGCUGGGCACACCCUGCGUUGGCCACUGGGCUCUUCCAGCUGUUCUAGGACAUCACUCAAGCCAUCACAAUUCUGCUCCCUCCCCACAGCCCAGAGUGCAGGAUAUACGCACUUCCCAACAUAAUAGAGCCUCCUGAAUAACAGGAUGUGAGGGAAGGUGUAGUGAGUGGGGGACAGAGGGGGGCAGGCAGGAUCUGCUCCAUGAUUCACCACCACCCAUGCCCAAGUUAAUCCAAGCCCGAAUAACAAAUAACAAGGCGCUUUGGCUAGAUUAGCUCCUUUGAGCCCCACCACAAACCUCUGAGGAAGAGACUACCAUCAUUUUUUUACAAAUGAGGAUACUGAGGCAAAGAAAGGUGAAAGGUCUUGUAUGGGGUUAAACAGUGACUGUUGGGGCAGGAUUUGAAUUCAGAUCUUCCUCACUCCCAAGUCCAACACUCUACCCACCUCUCUGUUACUCUGAAGGAAAUAAUAAUUAUUAACAGUAAUAACUGCAACUACUCCUAUUUCUAUAGCACUCAAAGGUUUAUACAGUGCUUUCCUCAUAACUGGUCUUAUGCAAAUUCCCAUUUAGACUCCUAUUUUUCACUUCCCUGUUAUAUAUUGUCUCCUCCUGUUAGAAUGCAAGCUCCCUAAGGGCACAGACCGCCUUUCUUUAUGUCUAUGUUUAUAUGCACAUAAUAAACAUUUAAUAAA